UCCUCAGCAGAGUGAAACUUCAUAUAUAAUAUUUUCUACAGACAAAGUUACCAUCAACAUCAACAGCAACAACACGGCAACAGCCAACAUUUACAGAACUUUUAAUAAGUUCCAGUCACCGUAUGUGCCUGCUUCCCCUUUGCCUUCCACCAUCAUUAUAAGUUUCCUGAGGCCACCACAGCCAUGCUUCCUGUACAGACUGUGGGACUCCAUGUAAGAUGUUCCUGCUUCCCCUUUGCCUUCUACCAUGAUUGUAACUUUCCUGAGGCCUUCCCAGCCAUGCUUCUUGUACAGCCUGCAGAACUGUGAGUCAAUUAAACCUCUUUUCUUUAUAAAUUACUCAGUCUCAAGUAGUUAUUUAUAGGAAUAUGAGAACAGACUAAUACAACCUCUUUUGUGGAGGUGUGGACAUUUUAAUUUGCCAUGCUUCUGAUUUACUGCAUUGUAGGUCAUGUUGAUUUCAAUAAAAAAUUCAUUUAGUAUUUACAUGUUAGCAUAAUGACGUUAAAAUUUCCUUAGAGAUAUAAUUAUUAACUUGUUUUUUUUAUAUAUCCUUGAAUCAGAAGCAUGAAAGGUACCUAACACGACUGCAUUAACUAACCUUUUUGUAACUAUAUGUUUAUUGGGAUACUUUGUUGGCCUACAAAAUGAAACUUUUGUUGCUGAAAAACUAGAGCUAUUUUAAAACAUUAUUUUUAUCAUUAUGUUCUUAAAUUUUAGUAUUGUCUGUCUAAUCUGGAAAUGUUAUUUAUAUUAAACCAUUUAUUUCUGUUUUUUGUGCUAUUUUUAUAUUACAUUUUUGG